rnacentral:rRNA from 1 species
UACGUAGGGGGCAAGCGUUGUCCGGAUUUAUUGGGCGUAAAGAGCGUGUAGGCGGCUUUACAGGUCCGUUGUGAAAACUCGAGGCUCAACCUCGAGACGCCGGUGGAAACCGUAAGGCUAGAGUCCGGAAGAGGAGAGUGGAAUUCCUGGUGUAGCGGUGAAAUGCGCAGAUAUCAGGAAGAACACCCGUGGCGAAAGCGGCUCUCUGGGACGGUACUGACGCUGAGACGCGAAAGCGUGGGGAGCGAACAGG